rnacentral:rRNA from 1 species
AGUGAACGCUGGCGGUAGGCCUAACACAUGCAAGUCGAACGGCAGCACAGUAAGAGCUUGCUCUUACGGGUGGCGAGUGGCGGACGGGUGAGGAAUACAUCGGAAUCUACUUUUUCGUGGGGGAUAACGUAGGGAAACUUACGCUAAUACCUCAUACGACCUACGGGUGAAAGCAGGGGAUCUUCGGACCUUGCGCGAUUGAAUGAGCCGAUGUCGGAUUAGCUAGUUGGCGGGGUAAAGGCCCACCAAGGCGACGAUCCGUAGCUGGUCUGAGAGGAUGAUCAGCCACACUGGAACUGAGACACGGUCCAGACUCCUACGGGAGGCAGCAGUGGGGAAUAUUGGACAAAGGGCGCAAGCCUGAUCCAGCCAUGCCGCGUGGGUGAAGAAGGCCUUCGGGUUGUAAAGCGCUUUUGUUGGGAAAGAAAAGCAGCAGGUUAAUACCCCGCUGUUCUGACGGUACCCAAAGAAUAAGCACCGGCUAACUUCGUG